rfam:Picea glauca, whole genome shotgun sequence.
ACUUGCCUACACCAUAGAGUUAAUGCAUCAGAUCCCAUUAGAACUCCGCAGUUAAGCACUCUCAGGCUAGAGUAAUAUUGGGAUGGGUGACCGCCCUCGAAGUCUUAGUGUUUUACAUGCC